UCUUCCCUCUGGCGGCGUGCCUAAUACAUGCAAGUCGAGCGAACAGAUGAGGAGCUUGCUCCUCUGACGUUAGCGGCGGACGGGGGAGUAACACGUGGAGAACCUACCUAUAAGACUGGGAUAACUUCGGGAAACCGGAGCUAAUACCGGAUAAUAUAUUGAACCGCAUAGUUCAAUAGUGAAAGACGGUUUUGCUGUCACUUAUAGAUGGAUCCGCGCCGCAUUAGCUAGUUGGUAAGGUAACGGCUUACCAAGGCAACGAUGCGUAGCCGACCUGAGAGGGUGAUCGGCCACACUGGAACUGAGACACGGUCCAGACUCCUACGGGAGGCAGCAGUAGGGAAUCUUCCGCAAUGGGCGCAAGCCUGACGGAGCAACGCCGCGUGAGUGAUGAAGGUCUUCGGAUCGUAAAACUCUGUUAUUAGGGAAGAACAAAUGUGUAAGUAACUAUGCACGUCUUGACGGUACCUAAUCAGAAAGCCACGGCUAACUACGUG
rnacentral:rRNA from 1 species